rfam:Heligmosomoides polygyrus genome assembly, scaffold: HPBE_scaffold0004345
GGCGAAACCAGACAAUGCGGUUGCUUUCACUGUGGGUCAGUCGAUCCUAAGAUACUGGCUUAUGCCUUGUAUCAUCGAGAGGGAAAAGUCUCUUUUCUCUCGGAUAUCAAAAGGGAAUAGGGUUAAUAUUCCCUAACGCAGACACAGAGAUUGUGGCUCUUUGAGUCACUUGCGCGGUAACGCAUUCGAACUUGGUUACGUCGCUCAGAGACCGAGCUAGAGUUCUCUUCUCUAGUUAAGGAACGGACUCCCUGGAAUCGGUUCAGCCGUAGAUAGGGACGUUGUUUCCGUAAAGCAUCGCGGUUUCUGUGAUGUCUCGUGUUCUCUGGACGGCCCUUGAAAAACCAAGGAAGGCUAUUAAUCUGUGCUGCAUCGUACCGAUAUCCGCAUCAGGUCUCCAAGGUGAACAGCCUCU